GGGUAUAAGAGAAGCAAGCAGGCUCUGCUUCUCUCCCUCCUCCCCGCUCGCUGAAAAACUUUGCUGCUAUUUAGCCAGCUGAGUGGGGAGGAGAGAGGGACAGAGAGCCUGCUUGCUUUAAAGGAGCC